UUUAAGAACAUCUUUUAUGAUUGUCUAAAAUGUUGUUUAUCAGAGAAAUAAUGGUAAUGAAUGGCGACAAAUAGGCGGGACGGUUAUAUUUUUGUAAAACGGCUUAUAGUCACCAUUCACCUCAUUUGUAUUCUAUUUGUGUUUUUUCAAUAAAUAAAAAGUAAAUCCGCACACGGUUAUCGGGAUAGACACAUUCGUAAAAGAAAGAAAAAUUUACAGUGCAGGUCACAUUAUAUCUUUAUUAUUACACUUUAAAUCACAUUGUUCUACCAAGACACUUUUUGUAACUAAUGCUUACAAAAUCUAACUAAUUUAUUCAAUCACAACAUAAUACAUUUUUAACUAAAACAAAUAAUAGGCAGACUUUAAUUACAACCAUUGAUCAGUUUUAUAAUCCGACGGCUCAGCUUAUUUCUCCUAGAUUUUGACAUGACAUUUAUCUACCUAAUAUGAAUCAUUAGAUCAAUUGCUAUACUUUCAUCUUAAACAGUCAAGAUUAUUCGUACUAUUUUAGUUUAUUUCUCACAUUAUUCAUCAUCUUUCUCGUCAUCUUCUUCUUCUUACUUUUUUUCUCAGAAAAAUUCAAGAAAUCAUUAAUCUUGAUGUUUAGCUUUUGGAUAACUGUUUGGUUUCGGAUCAUUGUAUAGUUAUUGCCGGUGAAUGGAAGACUUCUGGUAACUCCUCUUGCGUGAUGUCAAAGAUUGUACCUCUUCGCCCCAACAUCCUCUUGCGUGAAUUACAUGUUUAUGUCAUCAAAUAGUUCUUUAAUGACAUUGAUCCCCCACUCUUAUAUGAUCGUGGUUAAUUCUAUAUCCACAAGAAGGUGCUUUUAGAUAGUGCAUUCACCAUAUUGCAGCCUUUUGUGUUUUAUUUUGGGAAUUUUUUGGUCAUGUACAUGUUAAUAAUCUACUAAAUAUGUCUAUGGCUGUAAUGAAAACGCUUUAAUCCACUAUCUAUAUCGUUUUUGAACUAUAUCACUU